rnacentral:rRNA from 1 species
AGACCCGAAACCCGGUGAUCUAGCCAUGGGCAGGUUGAAGGUUGGGUAACACUAACUGGAGGACCGAACCGACUAAUGUUGAAAAAUUAGCGGAUGACCUGUGGCUGGGGGUGAAAGGCCAAUCAAACCGGGAGAUAGCUGGUUCUCCCCGAAAGCUAUUUAGGUAGCGCCUCGUGAACUCAUCUCCGGGGGUAGAGCACUGUUUCGGCUAGGGGGCCAUCCCGGCUUACCAACCCGAUGCAAACUGCGAAUACCGGAGAAUGUUAUCACGGGAGACACACGGCGGGUGCUAACGUCCGUCGUGAAGAGGGAAACAACCCAGACCGCCAGCUAAGGUCCCAAAGUCAUGGUUAAGUGGGAAACGAUGUGGGAAGGCCCAGACAGCCAGGAUGUUGGCUUAGAAGCAGCCAUCAUUUAAAGAAAGCGUAAUAGCUCACUGGUCGAGUCGGCCUGCGCGGAAGAUGUAACGGGGCUAAACCAUGCACCGAAGCUGCGGCAGCGACACUUUAGUGUUGUUGGGUAGGGGAGCGUUCUGUAAGCCGUUGAAGGUGUCCUGUGAGGGGUGCUGGAGGUAUCAGAAGUGCGAAUGCUGACAUAAGUAACGAUAAAGCGGGUGAAAAGCCCGCUCGCCGGAAGACCAAGGGUUCCUGUCCAACGUUAAUCGGGGCAGGGUGAGUCGACCCCUAAGGCGAGGCCGAAAGGCGUAGUCGAUGGGAAACGGGUUAAUAUUCCCGUACUUGGUGUUACUGCGAAGGGGGGACGGAGAAGGCUAUGUUGGCCGGGCGACGGUAGUCCCGGUUUAAGCGUGUAGGCUGGUUUUCCAGGCAAAUCCGGAAAAUCAAGGCUGAGGCGUGAUGACGAGGCACCACGGUGCUGAAGCAACAAAUGCCCUGCUUCCAGGAAAAGCCUCUAAGCAUCAGGUAACAUCAAAUCGUACCCCAAACCGACACAGGUGGUCAGGUAGAGAAUACCAAGGCGCUUGAGAGAACUCGGGUGAAGGAACUAGGCAAAAUGGUGCCGUAACUUCGGGAGAAGGCACGCUGACACGUAGGUGAAGUGAUUUACUCAUGGAGCUGAAGUCAGUCGAAGAUACCAGCUGGCUGCAACUGUUUAUUAAAAACACAGCACUGUGCAAACACGAAAGUGGACGUAUACGGUGUGACGCCUGCCCGGUGCCGGAAGGUUAAUUGAUGGGGUCAGCGCAAGCGAAGCUCCUGAUCGAAGCCCCGGUAAACGGCGGCCGUAACUAUAACGGUCCUAAGGUAGCGAAAUUCCUUGUCGGGUAAGUUCCGACCUGCACGAAUGGCGUAAUGAUGGCCAGGCUGUCUCCACCCGAGACUCAGUGAAAUUGAACUCGCUGUGAAGAUGCAGUGUACCCGCGGCAAGACGGAAAGACCCCGUGAACCUUUACUAUAGCUUGACACUGAACAUUGAGCCUUGAUGUGUAGGAUAGGUGGGAGGCUUUGAAGCGUGGACGCCAGUCUGCGUGGAGCCGACCUUGAAAUACCACCCUUUAAUGUUUGAUGUUCUAACGUGGACCCGUAAUCCGGGUUGCGGACAGUGUCUGGUGGGUAGUUUGACUGGGGCGGUCUCCUCCUAAAGAGUAACGGAGGAGCACGAAGGUUGGCUAAUCCUGGUCGGACAUCAGGAGGUUAGUGCAAUGGCAUAAGCCAGCUUGACUGCGAGCGUGACGGCGCGAGCAGGUGCGAAAGCAGGUCAUAGUGAUCCGGUGGUUCUGAAUGGAAGGGCCAUCGCUCAACGGAUAAAAGGUACUCCGGGGAUAACAGGCUGAUACCGCCCAAGAGUUCAUAUCGACGGCGGUGUUUGGCACCUCGAUGUCGGCUCAUCACAUCCUGGGGCUGAAGUAGGUCCCAAGGGUAUGGCUGUUCGCCAUUUAAAGUGGUACGCGAGCUGGGUUUAGAACGUCGUGAGACAGUUCGGUCCCUAUCUGCCGUGGGCGCUGGAAGACUGAGGGGGGCUGCUCCUAGUACGAGAGGACCGGAGUGGACGCAUCACUGGUGUUCGGGUUGUCAUGCCAAUGGCACUGCCCGGUAGCUAAAUGCGGAAAAGAUAAGUGCUGAAAGCAUCUAAGCACGAAACUUGCCCCGAGAUGAGUCUUCCCUGAGACUUUGAGUCUCCUGAAGGAACGUUAAAGACGAUGACGUUGAUAGGCCGGGUGUGUAAGCGCAGCGAUGCGUUGAGCUAACCGGUACUAAUGAACCGUGAGG